ACGAACGCUGGCGGCGUGCCUAAUACAUGCAAGUAGAACGCUGAAGAGAGGAGCUUGCUCUUCUUGGAUGAGUUGCGAACGGGUGAGUAACGCGUAGGUAACCUGCCUUGUAGCGGGGGAUAACUAUUGGAAACGAUAGCUAAUACCGCAUAACAAUGGAUGACACAUGUCAUUUAUUUGAAAGGGGCAAUUGCUCCACUACAAGAUGGACCUGCGUUGUAUUAGCUAGUAGGUGAGGUAAUGGCUCACCUAGGCGACGAUACAUAGCCGACCUGAGAGGGUGAUCGGCCACACUGGGACUGAGACACGGCCCAGACUCCUACGGGAGGCAGCAGUGGGGAAUAUUGCACAAUGGGGGAAACCCUGAUGCAGCGACGCCGCGUGGAGGAAGAAGGUCUUCGGAUUGUAAACUCCUGUUGUUGAGGAAGAUAAUGACGGUACUCAACAAGGAAGUGACGGCUAACUACGUGCCAGCAGCCGCGGUAAUACGUAGGUCCCGAGCGUUGUCCGGAUUUAUUGGGCGUAAAGCGAGCGCAGGCGGUUUGAUAAGUCUGAAGUUAAAGGCUGUGGCUCAACCAUAGUUCGCUUUGGAAACUGUCAAACUUGAGUGCAGAAGGGGAGAGUGGAAUUCCAUGUGUAGCGGUGAAAUGCGUAGAUAUAUGGAGGAACACCGGUGGCGAAAGCGGCUCUCUGGUCUGUAACUGACGCUGAGGCUCGAAAGCGUGGGGAGCGAACAGGAUUAGAUACCCUGGUAGUCCACGCCGUAAACGAUGAGUGCUAGGUGUUGGAUCCUUUCCGGGAUUCAGUGCCGCAGCUAACGCAUUAAGCACUCCGCCUGGGGAGUACGACCGCAAGGUUGAAACUCAAAGGAAUUGACGGGGGCCCGCACAAGCGGUGGAGCAUGUGGUUUAAUUCGAAGCAACGCGAAGAACCUUACCAGGUCUUGACAUCCCGAUGCUAUUUCUAGAGAUAGAAAGUUACUUCGGUACAUCGGUGACAGGUGGUGCAUGGUUGUCGUCAGCUCGUGUCGUGAGAUGUUGGGUUAAGUCCCGCAACGAGCGCAACCCCUAUUGUUAGUUGCCAUCAUUCAGUUGGGCACUCUAGCGAGACUGCCGGUAAUAAACCGGAGGAAGGUGGGGAUGACGUCAAAUCAUCAUGCCCCUUAUGACCUGGGCUACACACGUGCUACAAUGGUUGGUACAACGAGUUGCGAGUCGGUGACGGCGAGCUAAUCUCUUAAAGCCAAUCUCAGUUCGGAUUGUAGGCUGCAACUCGCCUACAUGAAGUCGGAAUCGCUAGUAAUCGCGGAUCAGCACGCCGCGGUGAAUACGUUCCCGGGCCUUGUACACACCGCCCGUCACACCACGAGAGUUUGUAACACCCGAAGUCGGUGAGGUAACCUUUUGGAGCCAGCCGCCUAAGGUGGGACAGAUGAUUGGGGUG
rnacentral:rRNA from 1 species